UACGUAGGGUGCGAGCGUUGUCCGGAAUUAUUGGGCGUAAAGGGCUCGUAGGCGGUUUGUCGCGUCGGGAGUGAAAACCUUGGGCUUAACUCAGGGCUUGCUUUCGAUACGGGCAGACUAGAGGUAUGCAGGGGAGAACGGAAUUCCUGGUGUAGCGGUGAAAUGCGCAGAUAUCAGGAGGAACACCGGUGGCGAAGGCGGUUCUCUGGGCAUGAUCUGACGCUGAGGAGCGAAUGUGUGGGGAGCGAACAGG
rnacentral:rRNA from 1 species